AGGCCUAAUAAACCCGGACGGAGGAGUACCUCUCUAUUCAGGCAGCUAUUAUCAUGGCUUCAAAUUUGACGGCGUCAGGCAUCAGUCGGACAUGCAUCAAGUGAGUCAUUGGUAAAUAUACAAAACCUACCACAUUUUAGAUUAGUAGAUUACCACACCAACAGAGGAGAAACAGAUCGCCCGCGUCGCCUGGCCCUGGGCGACUCGGGCGGAACGCGGUUGCUAGCGCCGCCGCCGCUCCUUUCUACACGCCUCGCCGCGCCGCUGCCGGAGGACGUCGCUGGCAAAGCUCACGCGGCCGACGGCGGCGGCGGGGCGCCUUCUCGCGACAGCCUCCGAUCUGUAGGGCGGCAGCUUCGGGCGGCACGUCGGCGCGCGUCGGGACUCAGUUGGGUCGCGGCGACCGGCAACUGUUCUCGACAUCCUCCUGUGGGGCGUGGUGACGGCGACCGGCAACUGUUCUCGACGUCCUCCUGUGGGGCGUGGUGACGGCUACCGGCGGCAUGGCGGCGAGGCUGUGCCAGAGGCGUGGGGCCGGUGCAGCGCGACGGCCAGAUCCAUGCGCUUUGUGGCGGCAGUGCUCCUGCUAACCAUUGGAUUUUGGCCAUAGGGGCGCCUCGGUGGAUUUUGGCCGUGGUGUUGUGGCCAGGUUGGCUGCGGUGCCGUGGUUCUGUCUCGUGGACAGAUCUGUCUUUCUUGCUUCAGAUCCGGUCAUGUCUGCUUUUGGUCUAUAGGCCUGGAUAGGGCUCUCUUUGGCCAGAAGGCACUCAUCGGUGAUGUGCUCUGCCGACGGUGUUGGUCCAUGUGAUGGUCACUCUGGUCGGCGGUUGCCUCAUUGCGGAUUGCGAUGGCCAUCGAAAGAUCUUCGCGGGGAUUACUCUCUUCAGAUCUGGUGGUUUCAUCCAGCGACAAGAUGCAAUCGAUGGACAACGACUUGACGCAGAGGACAAGAUACAACGGCGAGCAGCUGCUAGGAUCGUGGAAAAGCGGUGGCGACAACAUAUGAUUGACUUCAAUGGUGGUGCUUUCGAGUACCCGGUCUCGAGCUCCGAGGUGAAGACCUAUGUCUGACACGAGUGGUCAUACAUGGCAAAGAGCCCGACCUUUGGUGGUUGGAUCCGGUGACGGCGACGCUCGAGCAUCGCUCCCUUCAUGAAGGUGUUGCUGUUGAAGAACCCCAUUAUCCUUAUGGUGUGAUGAGAUGGUUCUUGUGGAUAUGGUCAUUGUUGUAGUUUGUCGAUCGUGGAUUUGUUCGCUUCGGGUUUUUUUUCUCGCUUAGGCAUAGCUUUGGUCUUAUAUGACUUUGUUAUUUGCUAGCGGGUUUUUGUGUGUGUUGGUGUUGGUUGUGUGCAUCUUAGUUAUGCAGAGGCCGGGUGUGUUCUCAUCGUGUUUGUAUCAACUUGAUGCUUCAUUUUGAGUUAAUAAAAUCCAAUCUUUGUCAAAAAAA